UGGGGAAUCUUGGACAAUGGGGGCAACCCUGAUCCAGCCAUGCCGCGUGAGUGAUGAAGGCCCUAGGGUCGUAAAGCUCUUUCGCCUGUGAAGAUAAUGACGGUACCCGCAGAAGAAGCCCCGGCUAACUCCGUGCCAGCAGCCGCGGUAAUACGGAGGGGGCUAGCGUUGUUCGGAAUUACUGGGCGUAAAGCGCGCGUAGGCGGACCUGCAAGUCGGGGGUGAAAGCCCGAGGCUCAACCUCGGAACUGCCUUCGAUACUGCGGGUCUCGAGUCCGGGAGAGGUGAGUGGAAUUCCUAGUGUAGAGGUGAAAUUCGUAGAUAUUAGGAAGAACACCAGUGGCGAAGGCGGCUCACUGGCCCGGUACUGACGCUGAGGCGCGAAAGCGUGGGGAGCAAACAGGAUUAGAUACCC
rnacentral:rRNA from 1 species